UUAUUGUGAUGAAUCCUAAAUUAUCAGUUCUGCUUCUGAACCAAAAAUUACAGGAAGAUAACUAAUUUACCAAGCUCAAUAAAUCUGAAAU
rnacentral:snoRNA from 15 species